UCAGUUCAUCUCCUGGAGCCUUUGAUCCAGGAGGUCCUCUCGACUGCGAGUCUCGAGGGUCUUCUGGCAGAAUGGAGGUAGGGACCCUCCGGGGGUGGAAUCGUGAUCAGACUGAGGGCUCUCCACCCUCGGCUUCCCCUUUCCGGAGAAGACAGGGCGACUGGCCCAAGUGGCCCACCCUAUUGCCGGACUUUGGAACUCUGA
rnacentral:lncRNA from 1 species